rnacentral:rRNA from 1 species
GAUGAACGCUGGCGGCGUGCUUAACACAUGCAAGUCGAACGAUGAAGCCCAGCUUGCUGGGUGGAUUAGUGGCGAACGGGUGAGUAACACGUGAGUAACCUGCCCUUAACUCUGGGAUAACCCUGGGAAACUGGGUCUAAUACCGGAUAGGAGCGCCUACCGCAUGGUGGGUGUUGGAAAGAUUUAUCGGUUUUGGAUGGACUCGCGGCCUAUCAGCUUGUUGGUGAGGUAAUGGCUCACCAAGGCGACGACGGGUAGCCGGCCUGAGAGGGUGACCGGCCACACUGGGACUGAGACACGGCCCAGACUCCUACGGGAGGCAGCAGUGGGGAAUAUUGCACAAUGGGCGAAAGCCUGAUGCAGCGACGCCGCGUGAGGGAUGACGGCCUUCGGGUUGUAAACCUCUUUCAGUAGGGAAGAAGCGAAAGUGACGGUACCUGCAGAAGAAGCACCGGCUAACUACGUG